AUGAUAUGGAAUAAUUGGGCACCAAAGGUCAAGUUCUUUGCUUGGUUGGCCUUUCAGGACAGAAUUUGGACUGCCGAUAGACUUGCAAAACGUGGAUGGAAAAAUUGUGGCUUAUGCCCGCUUUGCAAACGAGAGCCCGAGAUCGGGCCAUAUCUCUUCUUCAAAUGUCGUUACACCAUCAGACUCUGGAGCAUGCUGGUCACAAAACUUGGCCUUGAACAUGUUGAUAUAUCUACAUGGCACUUGGCGGGAUCCGUUGAGGAGUGGUGGGAUAGAAGAACUGACAUGGAUAUUCCAUCACGCAAGGUCAUGGCCUCUUUCACCAUACUUGUCUCUUGGGCAAUUUGGAACGAAAGGAAUGCCAGGGUCUUUCGACAUAAAAGUGCACCGCCCCUGAUCGUCCUCAACAUCAUUCUCGAGGAAGUGAAACUAUGGGUCGCCGCGGGUGCAAAGAAACUAGGGGAAAUCAUAAUACGCGAGUAA
rnacentral:rRNA from 1 species